GGGUCAGUAGGUUGGUCGUGCCACCGGUACGUACUGGUCUCACUGAUUCCUCCUUCCUGAAGAACCGUAAUGCCAUUAAUUUGGUGUUGCGGGGAAACAGGACUGUUAUUUUGAAAAAAUUAGAGUGUUUAAAGCAAGCCAACGCUUGAAUACAUUAGCAUGGAAUAAUGAAAUAGGACGAUCGAUCCUAUUUUGUUGGUUUCUAGGAUUGACGUA
rnacentral:rRNA from 1 species